rnacentral:rRNA from 1 species
GACGAACGCUGGCGGUGCGCCUUGUGCAUGCAAGUUGAGCGAAGCUUUUUGGUAGUUUACUACUAGAAAUGACUGAGCGGCGAACGGGUGAGUAACGCGUGAGCAAUCUACCUUAGUUACUGGGAUAGCCCGAGGAAACUCGGAUUAAUACCGGAUAUUCUUAUUUUUUCACAUGAAGUUUUAAGGAAAGGUCAGCCGAACUAAGAUGAGCUCGCGUUCUAUCAGCUAGUUGGUGGGGUAAAAGCCUACCAAGGCUACGACGGAUAGCUGGUCUGAGAGGACGAUCAGCCACACUGGGACUGAGACACGGCCCAGACUCCUACGGGAGGCUGCAGCAGGGAAUAUUGUGCAAUGAGCGAAAGCUUGACACAGCGACACCGCGUGUGGGAUGACGGUUCUAGGAUUGUAAACCACUUUCAGGAGGGAAGAAAAUGACGGUACCUCCACAAGAAGACCCGGCCAACUAUGUGCC